ensembl:lncRNA
GAAAAAUCAAGAGUCCCUCUCACGCUGCUGUCAUCAUACAGACCUGAGAGCCUUCAUUUGCACUGACGAUUUCUGUUGCAAGCAGGAAGCAGCAACUUCUUUUGGCCCGAUCAGAGGAAAAUAUUCUGAACUUUAACAUCACUGGUUUGAAUCUGCAAUUCGGGCUGUGCUGUAAGAUCAUGUAAAGCUGAGGUGGUACCAGACAGACGUGGCACAGCUAUGCUGCUUUCUAAAAUACUGCGUGCUUCAGAGAGGAAACCUCGUUGUAGCUGAGAGGGCAAAAAGAAAGAACGAUUCCAAUCCUUGAACCUGUCUUCUCUUCACAUCAAUGCGAAGACUCCUCAAGGAAACUUUAAGACAACUGGGAGUUUUGCUGACAACUCUGAAGGGUUCAUACACACACUAUCUGAAACAAUGCCAGAAAACUCUGAAUGUGCUGCUUCUGGGGGGGUCGUUUUACUUAGCUGCAAAAGCCUUUAACCUUAGCGCAGUAUCACUGACGUGACAAUGAUUAACGUUUCACCUUCUUAAAAAGCCCAACAAUUGGGAUUAUUAUUAACAAGCAAAUUAUUCCUUUUAUUUUUCUUUUUUUCUCUCUCUG